rnacentral:rRNA from 1 species
AGGGAAUCUUCCACAAUGGACGAAAGUCUGAUGGAGCAACGCCGCGUGAGUGAUGAAGGUUUUCGGAUCGUAAAACUCUGUUGUAAGGGAAGAACCAGUACGUCAGGCAAUGGACGUACCUUGACGGUACCUUAUUAGAAAGCCACGGCUAACUACGUGCCAGCAGCCGCGGUAAUACGUAGGUGGCAAGCGUUGUCCGGAAUUAUUGGGCGUAAAGCGCGCGCAGGUGGUUUCUUAAGUCUGAUGUGAAAGCCCACGGCUUAACCGUGGAGGGUCAUUGGAAACUGGGAGACUUGAGUGCAGAAGAGGAAAGUGGAAUUCCAAGUGUAGCGGUGAAAUGCGUAGAUAUGUGGAAGAACACCGAUGGCGAAGGCAGCCUCCUGGGACAUAACUGACGCUGAGGCGCGAAAGCAUGGGGAGCAAACA